rnacentral:lncRNA from 1 species
GUUCUUUUAUUCUUCAAUGGCAUGCAGUAGAAAUUGUAGCUAACAGGCAAAUAUAUAUAUAUAUAUAUAAAAUAGGGAUGUGAGAUGGCUCAGAGAACCUAAGAAUGAGCUUCAGCAAGGACAGGAACUCUGAACCAUCCAGAAUCUAGACAGCAAGAACUCAUAGUCCACUUAGGGUGCUGCCACUGAGAUUCAGAUUUCCUGGAGAGAGAGUCCAGUUGGCCUCUGAGUUAGGUGCCCUGAUUUCGACAAGGGAGGACUAUGCGCCUUGACUCUAAAGUCUCCCUAAGACUACAUGCAAAGCAGCUGAACAGUUCUUGAAAGUAAAAUGAAAUGCACUGCCAGAUGAAGACAAUUCAGGACAGUCAAAUACAACAAUGUGCUCUACAAAAUUUAAACAGCUUAAUCUUAGAAAAAUAAGAUAAAUCAAUCAAUGGCUCAAGUCCCCCAGUGGUGUGGGCAUGGAGGCCCCAACUGCCAUUUCCCUCCUUACACCCCUCCCAAUGGGUGACAGUUGGAAAGUAACUAGAGGCAAAGGAUACGGAUUAUGCAAAGAAGGAAGGAGAGUCUGAGAAGAAGGGCUUUUUUGGAAGGAGGGUUGCCAGGCCUGGAACAAGCACAUGCCUAGAGGAAAAUCCCAUACUACAUACAAGGAGGAAGCCCAGGCCAGCAGUCAAUGAAUACUCAGAUCAAGUGUCUGUCUGGAAAGCUGGCAGUCUUCCAGAAAUACAAUUAGGGCCCAUUCCAGUGGAACAGAAGUGCUACUUUGGGGGUGGACUGAAACAAGUUGCUGGGCUUCCAUUGGCCAUUGCCACUUGCUUGUCGUUGUGAGGAGGGGCCGUGCCUCCACAGGCCCAUACCUGUAACCUGACGAUACUGUUGUGAGCGGGAAUGGAGGAAGUGCAUGGAAGCCCCUCAGCACGAUGCAUAGUGAACAGACAAGCUGUGAACCUUGGGAGUUAUCACCAUGUGUGAUGAUGCUGGUGAAGAAAGCCUGCACUGAGGAGGCUGUCAGCCUGGGUUUGAAUCCCCUCAUUUGGAAUAUAAUCUUGG